UAGAUCCAUGAUAGUCUUAAAAAAAAUUGAAACUGCAAAAUUGACUUUUUGGGUACUUUAAUUUUGUCGAUGUCCUAUUGUAAAAUAAUUAAAUUCUUCUUACCAUUUCACUUGAAAUAUUGGAGUGAUCUUUAUUUCUUCAUGUUAUGUUUGCUAAGCAUGAAGAUAAAAGUGAACGAAUUCAUAAGACGUUCACUUCAAAUACCGUAUCUAGAUUUUUUAUUAUAAAUAAAAUUAGAUAUCACGGUUAAGUGUGUUCAAAUCUAUAUUAUUUACAAAAUUUAUACUUACAUGGAACAAUUUCCCUAUAAAUUGUUAAAACUAAAAUUAAUUUCCAUUUCUAUUAAAUUGAAAACUAUUUUCUGUAGUACCAUCCACGUAAGGUCGGAUAUGAUUUUUUUAAAAAUAAUUCAGCAUAAAACUGGUUGGGGAAGCGACAUUUCAAACACUUAUCAGCUCUUGUAAAGUGUCGUUCACAAUUGCACAUGACUCAUACCAAAGUGACAUACUUAUAUCAAUACUGAAUUCACUGUAUCACGAACCCGGAAAUAUAUCUCUAUUAUAUAAGCCAGCUCCUGAGGAUUUUUUUGGUAAAUUAACUUUUCGUGUCCACCUUAACAAAUACUAAAAUACCCUAUUACAUUAAACCCUUUCCCUCUAUCUCCCCUCAGCCAGCCAGUCCUCACUCCUUACCAACCCCGGCUUCUCCUUCCUUCACGCCUCUUUUCCUCACGAAACAAGAGCAAUUAAAUCUCAGAAAAUGGGAAACCCCAAAACUUUCGAAUCUACACUAAUCAAAUCUCAGAAAUCAAAAUCACAAAGAGAGAAAUAUCUUAGAAAACCUUCGAAUCUCACUCGAUCUCCAAAGUCACCUUCUUUGUUUUCCCCAAAUUUGAUCGAAACGACGAACAAGAGGAAUCCCUAGGAUUUGUUCGAGAAAUUUUAUUUAUUUGUGCGAUUGAUGAUACUUACAAAUACAGGUGGGGAUUCGACGGUGCAGGGUUCGAGGACGACUGACGGCAAGGUGGAGUCUGGAUCAGAAAGAAGGGGGACUCAACAAAAAAAUCUGAUGUUACUGAAGAUGACUGGGAAGUUGUUGAGCUCAACGCUCAGAGUGCUGAGGCUACUAUCUUGAAUCAGAAGCUGAAAAGUGGCGCAGAUUUUGAUUAACCCAACUUCUAGGUAUCAUUUCAAUCUCUUAAAGACAGCUCUUAUCCCUUUGGCGGAGUUCAGACAACCCUAAGUUAUGAAGAAGUACGAGGUUCUGCCUGACAUUGAAGUUCUCAUGGUAGCUCCUGAGGCUGGUAUAUCUUUUUUGUUCAAUAUUUUCUGUUAGCCAAGUUUUGCCAGCCACAUAUCUUCACUUCUCUGCAUUUGAAAUAUUACCUAUACUUCUAACACCAUGGAAGAGUAGGCAAGACCCCCAUUUUGCCCAAAUUCCGACUUUUAUAUAGUAAUUGUGAGUGCAGGUAACCCAUAGUUUAUCCCGUUUAAAUCAAAGGGCAUACAGAAUUUGUAGCUUUAUCAAAACUGUAAUUGAUUUACUCUUGAAUUAGUCAUGUUUAGGGAUCUUUACUUGAUAUGACUUGAGAUACUUAGGGUUGACUGUGUAACUUGAAGCUGGUCAGCAUCAACAAGAACUUAUAUCUUGAGAAAGAAUGAAGCGGCUCUUUCCCUAAUUUGUCUCCACUUUGAAUAUCUCUAGCUUUAUUGGCUCGCUCGCUCAACGGUUUUGCAGACCACAACUCUCCUGUGCGGAGGAGCUUAAGAAGAGUUCAUUCGUAUAUACUUCAUAGGAUUUUUUUUCUUUAGAUGAUCAAACUUUGUAAAUAAUUGUUUCUUGCUUAUUAUUUGUGGUGAUUAAUUGUAGUAACGCGAUUUUAAUUUUUUUUAUUAUCUCGCAUGCAUUGCGUGCAUAUAAGAUUUAUAUAUGUAAUCUCGCACGCAUCGCGUGCAUAUAAGACUAGUCACCUAAGACAAAAGACGCCUGUGCCAUUUUACAAAACAACAUUAAAAAAAUAUUGAUAUAAAUACACACUUUAUGUUAAUGCACUGGAUAACAGAUACAUACUUUUCUAGUAAUUGCAUUCUCAUUUAUAUACAUGGUGUAUUUAGAUGACUAAAUUUGAUAAGUAUGAGUGGGUUUCUUCGAGACAAUGGGAUUAUUUAUACAUUGUCGGUGUCAUUUAACAAAAAAAAUCUAUAUUAUCCACCACUAUACGGUAUACACUGAAUAGAAUACACAUUCCAAAGGACAUCUAACUCAAUUAAUCUGUAUUAAGGAUAAUCUUCAUUCUCUCUCCUCUUUCAAAAAUUCCUAAUCAAUUAUCUCUCCUCUUUCAAUAUUCACAAUUUAUGCUCAAUUUACCUUGCUUUACGCUACUAAUUGAUGGGUUUGCUGAUUUGCGCCUUAUCAUUGUUUAACAACUUUCAGUUCUUCUUUCUCAACUAUUAAUUUAGUUUAUAUACUUUCCAUAUUUCCUCAGGUCUUCUUUCUCAUGUUGGUACAAUGCAAGGGUUUACUGAUCUCCUCUUUUCUUUUUUGCUUUAGUUUUAAUUUAAUUUUAAUUCAAUAUGUAAUACUGUUACUUUUUUCCCUCUUUGUUGGGGUUUAACUUUCUUUUGAUUAGAAUGGAUUAGAUAAAAUACAUACAUGCAUAUUUUGAUGAAAACACAGCGGCAAGUGAGACACAAUUUGGAGUGUGUGUGAACUUUAAUUAAUUCGAUCAAUCUGAUGAUAAAGCAAGUUCCAACUAAAAUCUGUACAAAGUUUAAUUUUGAAACAAAGAAAAAUAAUAGGUACAAUUGUGUAGGAACAAAGAAAUUAAUAAGAAAAUCUAUGUCGAUUUUAUUUUUUUAUUACGUAAGAAACAACAAAUUCAUGGAGUCAAAUUCAGGUUGAAAAGGACGAAAGAUUAACCUGGAUUCUAGCGGUGCGAUAAUGUUCUCGCCGGCACAUCAAGGUCCUCGGUGGCGCAACGAUGUUAACCGCGUUCUUCAAUCUCCAGCCGUGUACAGAGGGUAGAGUUUUAAUGCGGAGUAUGAUUAUAGUUUUUUCUUAUUGUGUAAUUUUGUGUAAUUCUAUUUUCAAUGUGUAAUUUUGUUAAAGUUAAUGGUUUCCAUU